rnacentral:lncRNA from 1 species
AGCUAUAAGAUCAGCUAAAGUUUUAGCUGAGUUUAGACUUUGUUCGCUUGUUUUAUAAAUUAUAUUUUUUCUGUCAGCUAGUUGUGUUUUUGUUUUUCUCUUAAAAUAAAUCAGCGAACAGUAUUUUCAGUAAUGAUUUUUUAGACCAGCGAACAUAUAGUUACUUUAAUCUAGCUAAAUCUAGUUAAAGUUUAGCUGAGUCUAUUAGCUAGAGAAUCUAAACACCUGAGUUAAAGUUUAGCUUUAGCUAAGGCCUUGUUUAGUUCCUGAACGAAAACAUUUCGUGACACUGUAGCACUUUCGUUUGUUUGUGGUAAUUAUUGUUCAACUAUGGACUAACUAGGCUCAAAAGAUUCGUCUUGUCAAUUUCGACCAAACUGUGCAAUUAGUUUUUAUUUUCGUCUAUAUUUAAUACUCCAUGCAUGCGUCUAAAGAUUCGAUGUGACGGAGAAUCUUGAAAAAUUUUGCAUUUUUGGGUGGAAGUAAACAAGGCCUAAGAGAACUUUAAUUUAGCUAGCUAAUAAACUUUAUCUUUGAAAUUUCAUCUACUUAAUAAACUUUAGUUGGGUGAAUCUAAAAAGACCCUACAUACAUAGUAAAAACGAUAUAUGCAAAGAAGUUAAAACGUUUUAUAAUUUAAAACAGAGUGUUGAGACUUAUCUUGUAAUGCCACGUAAAUUAGACUAAAAAAUAUAAUUACAUGGACAGACAGACUCUCCGAAAAAAAACUGUCAAGGAGACGAGAACACUUACAUAUUUUCAGUGCGGACGAUGAUGCAGAAGUAUAAGAGGAGGUGCAGGAAGACGUGGAGCUUUGAGUGCCUGGAACUCAUCUCAUCUACUGCUUUCACCGGCUCUCGCUUUCGUACAAUGGCGAUCGACCAUUGGCUACUUAUAUAGCAGCAGAGCUAGAGGACGGAACAUUUCCUUUUUCAAAAAAAAAAACAAAAAACAAAAUGGCUUACCGUGCAGCAUACUAUCAUCACCACAGUGCAUGGCGUGCAUAGAAUGGCACUUUGCGUGUGCGACCAUCCUGUGCCUGAUGAUGCUUUUCAGCAUAUGACACAUUCACAGUGCAGUCGUCAGUUCAGGGCGUAAGUACUCCCUCCGUACACUAAUAAGCGUACAUUUAGACUGGUCGGCGUGCACCGCAAGGCUACAAGAUAUUGUACCAAAUAGGAUACUUUGCUUGUAACUCUGUCCCUUCAGGAUAUAUAAGGAGGGGCAGGGGGCCCCUAGAGGACAGAUCAUACAGGUUAUUCUCUCAACACAAUCCAAUACAACCAGACGCAGGACGUAGGUAUUACGCCAACUCGGCGGCCGAACCUGGAUAAAAAGCUCGUCCGUGUCUUGUGUCACCAUCGAGUUCGUAGUUUGCGCACCGUCUACCGAUAAACUACUACCGUGGGUAUACCCCAAGGUAGACUGCCGACCAGCUUUCGUCGACAGUGGUCGGC